AAUGAACGUUGGCGGCGUGGAUUAGGCAUGCAAGUCGAGCGAUCGUAGCAAUACGGGAGCGGCAAACGGGGUAGGAAUACCUCGGAACAUACCCUCAGGUCGGGGAUAGCGGCGGGAAACUGCCGGUAAUACCCGAUGAUAUCGAGAGAUCAAAGGUUUACUGCCUGGGGAGUGGCCGAGGCGAUAUUAGCUAGUUGGUGAGGUAAUGGCUCACCAAGGCAUAGAUGUCUAGGGGGGCUGAGAGCGCGACCCCCACACUGGGACUGAGAAACUGCCCAGACACCUACGGGUGGCUGCAGUCGAGAAUCUUCGUCAAUGGGGGAAACCCUGAACGAGCGACGCCGCGUGUGGGAUGAAGGCCUUUGGGUUGUAAACCACUGUCAGGGGGGAUGAAACCGCAAGGUUGACAGAGCCCCAGAGGAAGCACGGGCUAAGUCGUG
rnacentral:rRNA from 1 species